rnacentral:rRNA from 1 species
GAGGAAUAUUGGUCAAUGGGCGAGAGCCUGAACCAGCCAAGUAGCGUGCAGGAUGACGGCCCUAUGGGUUGUAAACUGCUUUUGUAUGGGGAUAAAGUCAAUCACGUGUGAUUGUUUGCAGGUACCAUACGAAUAAGGACCGGCUAAUUCCGUGCCAGCAGCCGCGGUAAUACGGAAGGUCCGGGCGUUAUCCGGAUUUAUUGGGUUUAAAGGGAGCGUAGGCUGGAGAUUAAGUGUGUUGUGAAAUGUAGACGCUCAACGUCUGACUUGCAGCGCAUACUGGUUUCCUUGAGUACGCACAACGUUGGCGGAAUUCGCCGUGUAGCGGUGAAAUGCUUAGAUAUGACGAAGAACUCCGAUUGCGAAGGCAGCUGACGGGAGCGCAACUGACGCUGAAGCUCGAAGGUGCGGGUAUCGAACAGGAUUAGAUACCCUGGUAGUCCGCACAGUAAACGAUGGAUGCCCGCUGUUGGUACUUGGUAUCAGCGGCUAAGCGAAAGCAUUAAGCAUCCCACCUGGGGAGUACGCCGGCAACGGUG